rnacentral:lncRNA from 1 species
GAAAAAGAAAAGAUUCCUUCUCUAUGGGAAGGUGAAUGGACAGCAUCAGUCAAUGUCAAGGAUGUUCUUAUAGCUGGAAACUUGAAUUCUCACAGUAACUGGAUAUUCAGGCCUUGUAAGAGUUGAAUACCUGCCAGGUGGCCUGGAAGAAUACCUUAAUUGCAAAACAACACCGUGUCUGCUCCAGUCCUAAUUUGAACACAGACAACAACUGCUGAAGCCGGGAAAGCAUAACAGUAGCUUGCAGGGAAGGCCCGAGGCUGCUGCAGAGGAGCACUGAGUACUGUAGCUUUUGAGGCCUCAGUCACAGCAGCGGGCUGGAAGUUUUCACCUCAUUUUAGUUUUCCUUGAAUAAAACCAGAAACUUCUGAAAGUUUAGGAUUAACUGAAUGUAUUAUCUCCUGGAACGUUAUGUUUGUUUCCUUUUUAUCAGAGAGGAGCAGAUACAUGCCUGGCUGCAGCCCCUUGACAGCUCAUUUUCUGAUUGUUUCACUAAAUGAGUUUGCUCUCUGAUAAGACAACUUUCUUUUUGCUCUGUCUAAUCCUUUGUUAUUCUUUCAGCUUAAAGCUUUUCAAGCCAGGCCAAGAAGCUGUGAAGUACCAGGGUCCUCGGGACUUCCAGACACUGGAAAACUGGAUGCUGCAGACACUGAACGAGGAGCCAGUGACACCAGAGCCGGAAGUGGAACCGCCCAGUGCCCCCGAGCUCAAGCAA